rnacentral:misc_RNA from 1 species
UACGGAGGGUGCGAGCGUUAAUCGGAUUUACUGGGCGUAAAGCGUGCGUAGGCGGUUUGUUAAGUCGGAUGUGAAAUCCCAGGGCUCAACCUUGGAAUUGCAUUCGAUACUGGCAGACUAGAGAUCGGUAGAGGUCAGUGGAAUUCCAGGUGUAGCGGUGAAAUGCGUAGAUAUCUGGAGGAACAUCGAUGGCGAAGGCAACUGACUGGGCCUGAUCUGACGCUGAGGUACGAAAGCGUGGGGAGCAAACAGG